rnacentral:rRNA from 1 species
CCUACGGGUGGCUGCAGUGGGGAAUAUUGGGCAAUGGAGGAAACUCUGACCCAGCCAUGCCGCGUGAAUGAUGAAGGCCUUAGGGUUGUAAAGUUCUUUUGCAGGGGACGAUGAUGACGGUACCCUGAGAAUAAGCUCCGGCUAACUUCGUGCCAGCAGCCGCGGUAAUACGAAGGGAGCUAGCGUUGUUCGGAAUUACUGGGCGUAAAGCGUGCGCAGGCGGCUAUGCAAGUCAGGGGUGAAAUGCCAAGGCUCAACCUUGGAACUGCCUUUGA